rnacentral:lncRNA from 1 species
GCUCAGUUUUAUAAAAGUUAUAAAUCAGUUGGUCCAUGGACUUAGUAUAAACAGGUAGAUGAUCACAAAAGCACUGGUCCCACAUAGUGCCUGUAUUUAAUUACAGCAUUAGGGACUUGACUGAUUCCCAGGUAGAUGAGAGCCUGAUGCUUCCCCAUAGGUCCCAGCCAUACCCUCUCUUGCCUCCUUUCCCACCCCACUGGGUGCUCUGUACUAUACCAGAUGGUAGCUUCCAGAAAGUAACUAGCUUUUGCCUUCCACGCUGAAGAUGUUUCCUUUACUACUACAUUAAAAAUACAGCUUGCAUUUUAUAGCUUCAUUUCCUUCUAGGGAUUUCAAAUUUUUAAGUAAUUAAAAGCUAGGGAGUCAUAUACAAACCUCAGAGUGCUGUACAGCCACUAUUAGAUAUUAUAGUGACAUUGUUUAGCAGAAAAUAAAUUACCAAUAUGAUUAGAGUGGGAGAGACAUCAACACUGAGAAAACUAUCAAAAACACAAAAGAUGGCCACAUAGCUGGACAAGAUCUAUACUUUAAAUAUCUCAGAGUACAUUGUGCAUCUCUAUCCCAAUUCCAAAGGAGAAUUUUUUAUACCACAUUUCUCAAACGGACCAUGGGGAAGGGAAAUACUACCAUGGAUCAUGUCUGGGUUUGAGGAAGGAGAAACACACUGCCAUGGUGACACUGCAACUGGAAUGAGAGAUGUGUCCAGGAGGAAGUGUUUCAAGCAGCACCAAGAGCAAGACUUAGGUUGCUUCACCUUGUGGAGGCAGUAAAUCCAAAGAAAGCAUCAGGCAUCUCAGAGCAAUUGCCUGAAAUAGGGCACUCUUGGUCUGCUGAGGUGUAAAGGACCUGUGUGGGAAUACCAUCAAAUGCAAAGUUUGGAAUGGAAUUUUUCUGGCA